rnacentral:misc_RNA from 1 species
UACGAACCGUACGAACGUUAUUCGGAAUCACUGGGCGUAAAGAGCGCGUAGGCGGCUCUGCAAGUUGGGUGUGAAAUCCCUCGGCUCAACCGAGGAAUUGCGCUCGAAACUGCAUGGCUUGAGGGAGAUAGGGGUGAGCGGAACUGAUGGUGGAGCGGUGAAAUGCGUUGAUAUCAUCAGGAACACCGGUGGCGAAAGCGGCUCACUGGGUCUCUUCUGACGCUGAGGCACGAAAGCUAGGGGAGCGAACAGG